rnacentral:sRNA from 1 species
CGGUUUCAAUUUGCUGCGGCGAUACAAAAUGAAUAUGAGCGUCAAUACCGCCUGCAGUAACAAUCAUCCCUUCAGCUGCCACGACUUCCGUAGAAGCUCCAAUGACGAUAUCGACGUUAUCCAUUAAUAAGGGAUUACCUGCUUUUCCAAUGGUGGAAAUCCAACCUUCUUUUACACCGAUAUCGGCUUUAAAAAUGCCGGAAUGAUCUAAGAUUAGCGCAUUCGUUAUCACAAGAUCCACAGCCUCUUCGCUUUCAGCCAAAGGAUGCUGACCCAUACCAUCG